rnacentral:rRNA from 1 species
AAAGAAUGGGGCGUGCUAUACAUGCAGUCGAGCGGAACCUUUGGAGCUUGCUCCAUUGGUUUAGCGGCGGACGGGUGAGUAACACGUGGGCAACCUGCCCUGCAGAUCGGGAUAACUCCGGGAAACCGGUGCUAAUACCGAAUAGUUUGCGGCUGCUUCUGCUGCUGCACGGAAAGACGGUUUCGGCUGUCACUGCAGGAUGGGCCCGCGGCGCAUUAGCUAGUUGGUGGGGUAACGGCCCACCAAGGCGACGAUGCGUAGCCGACCUGAGAGGGUGAUCGGCCACACUGGGACUGAGACACGGCCCAGACUCCUACGGGAGGCAGCAGUAGGGAAUCUUCCGCAAUGGACGAAAGUCUGACGGAGCAACGCCGCGUGAGUGAAGAAGGUUUUCGGAUCGUAAAACUCUGUUGUGAGGGAAGAACAAGUACCAAGUAACUACUGGUACCUUGACGGUACCUCACCAGAAAGCCACGGCUAACUACGUGCCAGCAGCCGCGGUAAUACGUAGGUGGCAAGCGUUGUCCGGAAUUAUUGGGCGUAAAGCGCGCGCAGGCGGUCCUUUAAGUCUGAUGUGAAAGCCCACGGCUCAACCGUGGAGGGUCAUUGGAAACUGGAGGACUUGAGUGCAGAAGAGGAAAGUGGAAUUCCAUGUGUAGCGGUGAAAUGCGUAAAGAUGUGGAGGAACACCAGUGGCGAAGGCGACUUUCUGGUCUGUAACUGACGCUGAGGCGCGAAAGCGUGGGGAGCAAACAGGAUUUAGAUACCCUGGUAGUCCACGCCGUAAACGAUGAGUGCUAAGUGUUAGGGGGUUUUCCGCCCCUUAGUGCUGCAGCUAACGCAUUAAGCACUCCGCCUGGGGGAGUAACGGCCGCAAGGCUUGAAACUCAAAGGAAUUGACGGGGGCCCGCACAACCGGUGGAGCAUGUGGUUAAUUUCUAAGCAACCGCGAAGAACCCUUACCAGGUCUUGACAUCCCCGCUGACCGCCUUGGAGACAAGGCUUUUUCCCUUCAGGGACAGCGGGUGACAUGUUGGUGUCUGG